UGCAUCGUGGAAAUUCUAGAUUGAAAGAACACUUUCUGUUUGUUCAAGAAUCAAGAGAAAUAAACCAAUGGCUCCAGAGAAGACCUAUUUGCAGAAUCCUGGCUGUUCACCUGCCACAGAGAAGAGCCGCGGGAAGUGCCUGGCUGGGAGUAGACCUAGAACCCGUGGGUGAAAAUGUAGACAGAUUCUGGACAUGAGAUGCUGUGAGGAGGCAGCUGGACUUUCAGGAGGGGAAAAUCCCUUCCCUUUCCAACUGCUCUUCUGACAACUGCUUCCCUGUAAUCUCAGAGCCCAGUGAACCCUCCAGGCAUCAGAAGCAGGGUCUGGGUGGCAGUGGGGGCUUCCAGGGCUUCCAGAAGCCCUGAUUUGAGAAGGGAUCGGGAAGAAUCUCAGAACAGAGACCGUUGCAAAUGCAGUUUCUAGAAUUCACCCAGAGCUUCUUGGGAAGAGAUAAGAAUGGUGAG
rnacentral:lncRNA from 1 species